AACGAACGCUGGCGGCAGGCUUAACACAUGCAAGUCGAACGCCCCGCAAGGGGAGUGGCAGACGGGUGAGUAACGCGUGGGAACGUGCCCUUCGCUUCGGAAUAGUCCCGGGAAACUGGGUUUAAUACCGGAUACGCCGUAUUGGGAAAGAUUUAUCGGCGAAGGAUCGGCCCGCGUUAGAUUAGCUAGUUGGCGGUNUAAUGGACCACCAAGGCUACGAUCUAUGCUGGUCUGAGAGGAUGANCAGCCACACUGGGACUGAGACACGGCCCAGACUCCUACGGGAGGCAGCAGUGGGGAAUCUUGGACAAUGGGCGAAAGCCUGAUCCAGCCAUG
rnacentral:rRNA from 1 species